UACGUAGGGUGCGAGCGUUAAUCGGAUUUACUGGGCGUAAAGCGUGCGCAGGCGGCCCGUUAAGACAGGUGUGAAAUCCCUGGGCUCAACCUAGGAAUUGCGCUUGUGACUGGCGGGCUCGAGUACGGUAGAGGGGGGUGGAAUUCCUGGUGUAGCAGUGAAAUGCGUAGAGAUCAGGAGGAACACCGAUGGCGAAGGCAGCCCCCUGGGCCUGUACUGACGCUCAUGCACGAAAGCGUGGGGAGCGAACGGG
rnacentral:rRNA from 1 species